rnacentral:rRNA from 1 species
CGAAUGCUGACAUAAGUAACGAUAAAGCGGGUGAAAAGCCCGCUCGCCGGAAGACCAAGGGUUCCUGUCCAACGUUAAUCGGGGCAGGGUGAGUCGACCCCUAAGGCGAGGCCGAAAGGCGUAGUCGAUGGGAAACAGGUUAAUAUUCCUGUACUUGGUGUUACUGCGAAGGGGGGACGGAGAAGGCUAUGUUGGCCGGGCGACGGUUGUCCCGGUUUAAGCGUGUAGGCUGGUUUUCCAGGCAAAUCCGGAAAAUCAAGGCUGAGGCGUGAUGACGAGGCACUACGGUGCUGAAGCAACAAAUGCCCUGCUUCCAGGAAAAGCCUCUAAGCAUCAGGUAACAUCAAAUCGUACCCCAAACCGACACAGGUGGUCAGGUAGAGAAUACCAAGGCGCUUGAGAGAACUCGGGUGAAGGAACUAGGCAAAAUGGUGCC